rnacentral:rRNA from 1 species
ACGGGGGGUGCAAGCGUUGUUCGGAAUUAUUGUGCGUAAAGAGCGUGUAGGCGGCUUGGUAAGUCAGAUGUGAAAGCCCCGGGCUUAACCUAGGAAGUGCAUUUGAAACUGCCUGACUUGAGUAAGGGAGAGGGUAGUGGAAUUCCUGGUGUAGGGGUGAAAUUCGUAGAUAUCAGGAGGAACACCGGUGGCGAAGGCGGCUGCCUGGACCUAUACUGACGCUGAGACGCGAGAGCGUGGGUAGCAAACAG